rnacentral:rRNA from 1 species
UCUAAGUAUAACCUGCCAGACAGGGAAACUGCGUACGGCUCAUUACACCAGCCUUAAUUUACUUGACCUUGACAACCUACUUGGAUAACUGUGGUAAUUCUAGAGCUAAUACAUGCACCAAAGCUCCGAUCCUCGCGGAGAGGAGCGCAUUUGUUCGCCACAAAACCAAGCGCCCAUCUGGGCGUCCAGUGCUGAACCAGAACAACUCAGCUGAUCGCACGGUCUUGUACCGGCGACGUGUCUUUCAAGUGUCUGCCUUAUCAACUUUCGAUGGUAGUGUACCUGACUACCAUGGUUGUGACGGGUAACGGAGGAUAAGGGUUCGACUCCGGAGAAGGGGCCUGAGAAAUGGCCACUACGUCUAAGGAUGGCAGCAGGCGCGCAAAUUACCCACUCUCAACGCGAGGAGGUAGUGACGAGAAAUAACGAGACCGUUCUCAUACGAGGCCGGUUAUUGGAAUGGGUACAAUA